rnacentral:tRNA from 1 species
GGGCUUGUAGCUCAGUUGGGAGAGCGGGUGCUUUGCAAGCACUAGGUCGCGGGUUCGAUUCCUGUCAGGUCCACCA